GCUCCUCUAAAACUAUCAAGAACUCAUCUGACUCUUUUGACUUAGCAACUGAACCAAUGGAAUCCGAGUUGUUCCUUUCUCCUCCCUUUUUUCUAAAAGGACACUCUCGCUUAAAAUGCCCUGCUACACCACACCUGUAGCACUUCCUAGCCUCCUUGCUGUUCUUCUACGACUGUCUCUACCCCACCUACUCAUCCUUCUUCUUUUCUCUCUUGGGCCUCU
rnacentral:lncRNA from 1 species